UAAUGGUAACAGGGCAAUAAUUAUAAAAAUAAAAGACUCUAGUAUAUACAAAGUAUUAAAAUAACUAUUAUGAAUAUCACGUUCUAAUUGGUUUGGUGCGCGUGCUAUAUGAGAGCACAUUGCACGCACGCUCACUUUCCAAUUCGUCAUUCCUAUCUAAAAUAACAGUUAUUGUAAUUUGUAUUUUAUAAAAGAAAUAAAAACUUGCUUGUUGUGCUGUGUGCUGUUGUAAAGCACUUGGGGAUUGGCAGAACACUCAAGAAGUGUCCAAAAGCUCUCCGCUACACUCAUGUUCUGGCAACCUCUACAUGCUUUAUUGCUGCACACAGCAUGCACGCACGUUUUCUUCAAUAACCUGUACAUAUCCCAGACAAUUAGGAUGAUUGUCACUGAUAGGGUUUCUUUAACUUCUCAUUGGUUUAGUGUGGAGAGAAGGGAGUUGCCAUUUAAUGUGGUGACAUAUCCUAGCCACACGAUAUUGACCCUGAUUGUUGGUCCAGCAAGGAAAAUCUGAUGAUCAACGAAAAAUACAAAUAUGCAAAUGCAGCAAUGGGAUUAGCUCCUUUUCUCAUGAAUAAUUAAUGAGAGUAUGAGAAGGAACUUUCUGAUCCAUUUGUUUUCCAACCCGGUAUUUGUUUUUUUCGGGUAAAUAGUAAGCAAACCCUGGUAUAAAUAUCUCAUCUUUUUGGUGUUUGAUGACAUAAAGGGUACUUCAUGACCAGCCGACACAUGUCGGUUGACUAUUGCCUGACUAUUGGUCAACAGUCGCCCAACAAGCGAUGUUUGGCCAAGUCGCAUGGUUGACAGUUUUGGUGAAGUGCAGUCAAGUAUUGGGCAAGUGUUGGUCAACAGCCGGGCGACUGUCAACCAACAGCUGGGCAAUAGUCAACUGACACAGUUGGUUGGUCAUGAAGUACACAAUUACCCACAUAAAGAUUGGAUAAGAAAGAUGAAAAGAAGAUUACAGAUUUCCUCAUAGCGAGUAACAAGAAGUGGAAAGAAGAGCUAAACUUGGCAAAUAAGAGGGCAUUUGAGGUAAGUAUCUGCAAUACAGUUGG